UUACGUGGUAUUGUGCAUAGUAACUUUGUUUAUUGACGGUAAAGCUUGAAUGAUAUUGGGCUUGAAUUUGAUUUGUGUUUGAAUUUAUUUCAGUGUUAACUUCUAGGGCUGAUUAACUUUUCAAUCUUACUAUAUGUUUGUGUUUCAUGGACCUUUUUCCAGAAACAUACUUUAACUAUUUAAAUAAAAAGAUUUUAAUUUAUGCACAAAAAAUACAAUGGCAACAGUUUCAUUGUCUUCGGUUCCAAAACGUUUGCGUAUGGUUGAAGACUUUCGGUGCACGUCUUGUCAAGAGCUGAAUCUCGAGGAAUCUGCAGAUAUUUACUGUGAGGCAUGUCAUAUGUUUUACUGUAAAAGAUGUGGUCACCUUCAUAAUCGGCUUUCUACAGAGCAUACUACUGUUGGAAGGGGAGAUAUUAAGAAAUGGCCAGUUCCAAAGGAGGUGGAGGAUUUUCUCAGGAUGUGUGAAGCACAUGAGGAUAAAAUACUGACACAGUUUUGCCAAGACCACACUCAGCUGUGCUGCUCUGAUUGUGUUGUAAAAAUCCACAGCCAGUGCAGUAAAGUGACCCAGAUUUCGGAGCUGACCAACUCGCAGCCCACAGGCCUAGAGGGGCUGUCAGUGGAGCUGGAAACUGUCCUGGGGGAAAUUAAAACCCUGCAAAUCAGUCAGAAGGCCAGCAUUCAGUCAUUUCAGAGAACAUACAAGGAACAUAGUGCAGUUAUGAUAGAGCAAAUGCUUGGCAAUUUAAAUACUUAUAUAGAUUAAUGUGAUAAUAAUUCUGUGGGUACAUCAGGCGGAAAUGAGCAAUAUUUAAAAGAAGAGAUGUGUAGGAGUGUUCUCUCUAUCGUGAAUGAAUUUGAUAAUAUUACUACGAAGGAACUUAACGAGAUGAAAGAUGAAGUUAUAAGUAUUAAAGAGUCAGUUACAAGUUCUAUUCAUAAAUGCACCACUCUUCACAAUGACUUGUCACAAUUCCAUGAACUUGUUCAGAAAAUUGGAGAUAAUAAGGAGCUCUGUCUUAUAGCCAGCAUAAAAUGUUAGCAUAUAAUACAGCAAGCAUUGACUCUGCUAGGAAAGUCAGGCAAGGCGUUUAACGUCCAGCGGAAGUCUGUGCACAAUGUGAGAAUACCAAGUGAUUCAUAUGAAUGUAGUAUCGCAGGCAUAUGUGUUCUGACUGAUGGGCAGGUGCUGGUCGCAGACUCGAACAAUAAGAGGAUCAAGCUGCUGAACCAGCAGUACCAGGUGGUGAAUCACUGGGAUGUGACUGCUGGGCCAUGGGACAUAUGUUUGAUCACAUCCAGUGAGGUUGCAGUGGCUGUGAAUGACCAUGAUAGCAAGAUACAUGAGGUCCAGUUUAUCACUGUCAACCAGGGAAAGCUUGUUUCUGGCAGGAAGUUUCAGUUACAACAUGAAUGUAGCUGUAUUACCCAUCACCAAGGAGACCUUUUUGUCACCUCUCCUCAAGAACUGUACAAAUACUCACUGAAUGGCAAACUGAUCUGCAGACUCUACCAAGAUAGAUCAGCUAAUUGGACAGUAAGGCAGUGUGCUGCGAGUCCCACAGGAGACAGGCUGUACAUCACCAGCUGGCAACAAGACAAGCUUCUCACCCUGGCCAGGGAUGGCACACUCCUGGCUACAUACACAGACCCAGCACUAGAUGGCCCAUGGGGUCUACAUGUGACCCCUGCAGGCCAGGUGCUGGUCUGUGGAGACUGGUCCUCCACUGUACUACAGGUGGGCUGGGAGGGAGAGAGUAAGCUGGCUACGCUGGCUACUAAGGAGGAUGGAGUGUGGUGGCCAGAGUCAGUCUGCUACAGCAGCACCACAUCAUCCAUCAUUGUGGGAUAGAGGUGGGACGACACCAUCCUGGUGUUCAGAGUGGAAUAGUGUGUACAUUGCUGCUGAGUCAGGACAACGAUGCUGAGGAUGUGGUGGACACGGAUGACCUGACUAUGCAGAAGGACAGCACCACCAUUGAUAUCGAUUUGGCCCAGCAUCAGCACCAGUCCUGCCUGCAGGAGCCCCAGUCCAGGACGAUACAUCCACUCCCCUGACCCAUAGCUCAUCAUACUUGAUAUCCGGAAAAAUGGGGCCUUGUGCAUGUGCUUAAAUUGUUGUCACAGAUAAGCCUGUGCAGUUUGCACAGGCUUAUAAUGGACAACACUUUCCUGUUAAAGGUUUUUUUUGUUGAACAAAUAAUCCUCUUUAUGAAAAUCCAGUCUAGUCAGAAAGAACCCUCCCUAAUUAGCUUAUGUGAAUUUCACAUGCUAAUCUUGGACGACACUUUCUAACAUUAGUGAUCUGCAUAUUGGCCUAUGAAAAUACAUUUCUGGAAAUGGAGUAAAGAUUAUAGAUAUAACUGUACAGAUAAGUAUAGCAUUAGCCAACACUUUUCUUGUUUUAAUACAGAAUGACUUAAUUGUAUUUAUUUUCAUGCUAUUAAGGACAAGGAACCAAUAAAAUGCCAGAUUAGAAAUUCAUGUUGAAAACCUUCACAGCCAGUUAAGAGGCAUAGUUUGUUAUAGAUUGUAAUAUAUUUGUUAAAAGUUCCUAUCACCCACUGUGUUGUUGUUGUUUUCAGCAGAGCACCAGCAUUGAUAUCGAGUUGGCCCAGAAACCACACCAGUCACGCCUGCAGGAGCCCCAGUCCAGAACGACCCUUCCCCUGCCUUGACUUUUAACUCCUCCCCCUUGACCUCCUGCCUCAAAAAGUCAGCAUCGUUGAACAACUCUGUUCUGCAGGAAAUUCUGAGCAUGAAUCUGUUCUGAACAAACGCAAUGCCCACGUUACAUUUUCCAAACAUAAGCCUGGGUAGUUUUAUUAAGCUGGAGUUGCGCGUGGGCCUGAAAGGGACUAGUGUUACAGACACGAAAAGUUAUAGCAGUAGUUAUGGUAACGCUAACAGUCAGUUGUUGCUGUUGGACAUCACAACAAAUAUCAUGAAGAAUAAAAAGUUCAAUAACUCAUUCCAAUCUUUAUGAGACAAACAGAAAUUGAACGGGAGAAAAUCAAAGAACAAUAAAAGCGUAAGCUUUCCUAGUGGGAUACUUUUGCUGUUGAUAGUUUGGACAACAGUAGGGUUGCGGACUGCCCCAGAUUGUCCUCUCAGCGGCCAAAAUAUCAUAAUAGAACGGACUUUUGGCAAUGUUACUGACAAAGAAAGGCAAUAAUGACUUGGUUGUCAAUACCCAGAGCAAGAUACAUCCAUGCUGAGAAAGAAAGGCAGUAAUGACUUGGCUGUGAACACCCAGAGCGCGAUACAUCCAUGCUGACACAGUAAGGCAGUAAUGACUUGGUUGUGAACACCCAGAGCACAAUACAUCCGUGCUGACACAGAAAGGCAGUAAUGACUUGGUUGUGAACACCCAGAGCACAAUACAUACAUGCUGACACAGAAAGGAAGUAAUGACUUGGUUGUGAACACCCAGAGCACGAUACAUCCAUGCUGACACAGAAAGGCAGUAUGACUUGGCUGUGAACACAGAACACAAUACACCCAUGCUGAUACAGAAAGGCAGUAAUGACUUGGUUGUGAACACCUAGAGCAAGAUAUUUCCAUGCUGACACAGAAAGGCAGUAAUGACUAUGCUGUGAACACCUUGAGCAAGAUAUAUCCUUGCUAACACAGAAAGGCAGUAAUGACUAUGCUGUGAACACCCGGAGCAUAAUACAUCCAUGCUGACACAGAAAGGCAGUAAUGACUUGGUUGUGAACACCCAGGGCAAGAUAUAUCCAUGCUGACACAGAAAGGCAGUAAUGACUAUGCUGUGAACACCCAGAGCAAGAUAUAUACAUGCUGACACAGAAAGGCAGUAAUGAUUAUGCUGUCUAAACCAACAGAAAGAUAUAUCCAUGCUGACACAGAAAAGCAGUAAUGACUAUGCAGUGAACACCCAGAGCAAGAUAUAUCCAUGCUGACACAGAAAGGCAGUAAUAACUUUGUUUUGAACAACCAGAGCAAGAUAUAUCCAUGCUGAUACAGAAAGGCAGUAAUGACUUGGCUGUGAACACAGAACCCGAUACACCCAUGCUGACACAGAAAAGGCAGUAAUGACUUGGCAGUAAACACAGAACACAAUACACACAUGCUGACACAGAAAGGCAGUAAUGACUUUGCUGUGAACACAGAGCACAAAACAUCCAUGCUGACACAAAAAGGCAGUAAUGACUUGGCUGUGAGCACAGAACACCAUACAUCCAUGCUGAUACAAAAAGGCAGUAAUAACAUGGCUGUGUACACAGAGCACAAUACAUCCAUGCUGACACAGAAAGGCAGUUAUGACUUGGUUGUGAACACAAGAGCACAAUACAUCCUUGUUGACACAGAAAGGCAGUAAUGACUUGGCUGUGAACACAGAGCACAAUACAUCCAUGCUGACACAGAAAGGCAGUUAUGACUUGGUUGUGAACACAGAGCACAAUACAUCCUUGUUGACACAGAAAGGCAGUUAUGACUUUGCUGUGAACUCAGAGCACGAUACGUCCAUGCUGACACAGAAAGGCAGUAAUGACUAUGCUGCGAACACCCAGAGCACAAUACAUCCAUGCUAACACCCAGAGCAAGAUAUAUCCAUGCUGACACAGAAAGGAAGUAAUGACUAUGCUGUGAACACCCAGAGCAAGAUAUAUCCAUGCUGACACAGAAAGGCAGUAAUGACUAUGCCGUGAACACCCAGAACACAAUACAUCCAUGCUGAAACAGAAAGUCAGUAAUGACUUGGUUGUGAACUCAGAGCACAAUACAUCCAUGCUGUCACAGAAAGGCAGUAAUGACUUUGCUGUGAACUCAGAGCACGAUACACCCAUGCUGACACAGAAAGGCAGUAAUGACUUGGAUGUAAACACCCAGAGCACAAUACAUCCAUGAUUACACAGAAAGGCAGUAAAGACUUGGUUGUAAACACCCAGAGCACAAUACAUCCAUGCUGACACAGAAAGGCAGUAAAGACUUUGUUGUAAACACUAAGAUAUCCAUACAUCCAUGGGGUGUGCCACAGACGCAAAUUACGCCCACCAUUUUGAACAAGGUGCUUAAAGUGAACACGUCUGGUUUUGUUAUGAGCACUUAGCACUCCGAGCCUAAAAGGCCUCACAUUGAAUUGAUGCAAGAGAAGGCUUUGAAAAAUAACAGCAGUUUUGUUGUGUGGUCCAAUACGCCCUUCGACUCGCAACCUGAAGAAAGCAGAACUCAAACUCGUCUCUUAGCAAUAUCAGCAAGGCCAUCAUGUCAAUCUCAGCUUCUAGAGCUUCAGUGAACUUAACUAGCAAACAUGACAAACGUCAUUGAAGUGAAAGUCGAUGACAACCCCCUUCUUGCACAAAUAUUUCAACUCGCUUAAGAAAUUCAGCAUGAAGACGUCUUGCGUCAGACUACCAAGCCUCCUAUCAAUAUCUCCUCCCAUGUUGGCUACAUCAACACUUCCAACAGCAGAGCCUUGGUGAGUUUGACUUCCGUCUUAGCAUCGAUGUCGCUUAGCAACAAUUGGAUGAUGGGCGUCGACAAAUUAUGCCGGACAAGUCGCUCGAACUGAAACUAUCUGAUCCAACAGGUAGAGCAGGCGUUGCGUGACAUGUCCAUUAAUGUGACUACUCGAUAUGUUGUUCUCGAAUAAUGUGAACCUAAGGCCUGGAGAGCAGUAUGCGAUUGACGCCAUUCAACAACAGUUGUCGGCAAUUCUCGGGUUUGGGGUGGCGACUUCGGCGUCGAGACUCGCUCCAUCUCUGUCUAAGGCCCAGUCGCAGCAGCAGCAGCAGCAACAAGAACAAUAAGUAGUAUCUUAGUGGUGUUCUGGGAUAUGGGGCUUCAUGUAUGUGCUUAAAUUGUCAUCCAAGAUUAGCCUGUGCAGACUGCACCUACAUUAAGUCAUAUUAAAUUGUCAUCCCAGAUUAGCCUGUGCAGACUGCACAUACAUUAAGUCCUAUUAAAUUGUCAUCCAAGAUUAGCCUGUGCAGACUGCACAUACAUAAAGUCCUAUUAAAGUGUCAUCCCAGAUUAGCCUGUGCAGACUGCUCAUACAUUAAGCCCUAUUUUCCCAGAAUGAGACUCGUAUACUUCACUUAACAUCAGUAUUUUAUGUGCCUGAAAAGUUCCUAGCAUCAAAUGGGAAUUAUGUGCUUUUAAAUUGAUCACACAUAGUAAAUAAAAUGCAAAUAGCACUUGAUCUGAUAUCAAUUUUAAUUGUUUCUGCCUGAUUGAGAAAAAGGUCAAAGCAUCAAAUGGUAAGUAUGUGUUUUUAAAAUUAAUCAACUUGGUAAAUAAAUAGCAAUUGAUCUAAUAUCAGGUUUAAUCAUAAAAGGUAAAGGCAUAGUUUUGUGUAAUUUUCGGCCGAAAUUCAGCUCUUAAACAAAGCGUUUGUCUUUUACAAAAUCCGCUGUAAUAGACUUGUUAAAUUUUAUUUAAUUUUAGCAAAACAAUUAUUUAAAUGACUUCAGCACAUUAUACAAUUAUUACCUUCACUAUUUAUUUAAGUUCCUGAAUUUUGUUUUAAGAGCCGGUUCCUACAGGAUCCCAUGCAAUAGAUUGGUACCCAGCUGAACAACAGGCUUUCUGGUAAGCUGGGCCCGGAUAGGUGCAGCCAGUCAAAAGCUGGGGCUCCAAACUGUCCUGCCAAGUGGGCUGAUAUUACCUCUUCUACAAGGGACAUAUGUCAGUGAUGCGCAAAGAGCUGGUUUUCUGUUCACAGAGAAAUAUCCUAACAACUCCAACUCAGCCACUACAUCUCAACAGACAACCCGAAUAUCAAGGCGUUAAGUUUCUUCUGGAUGCAGUUACAGUCACAGCUUUCAAGCCAGCAGCUGUCGAUGUAUUGAGAUUUUCUCCUCUCCAUGUUACCUGACCUGCUGCCUGUGAACAUCCUGCACAUAGAACCUUUAUCCCAAUCGAUGUAAUUAAACCGGCCAAUCAAAAAGAUAGCCUGGUACAGCACUUGUCAUUAGAUUGACGCCAUGCAUGCCUUUGAAGAUCAUUUAUACAUACAAUUUAAGCAUGAUAGUCAAUAAGUGCCUGCGUUGGCUUCUUAAAAGACUCACAGUCCUAAGCAUUUACGAUGGAAUUCCUCAUCUUGAAAUAUUGGGAAAGCAGGAAAACACCUGUCACUGUUAAGAAAAAAAUGAGGGAAUGACAAAGCACAAUAAGACCAGCCAAGUCCUGUGAUCAGACAAGUCCUGUGAUCAGACACGUCAUGUGAUAAGCCAAGUCUUAAGAUCAGCUUAGUUCUGUGGCCAGACACGUCUUGUGGCCAGCCAAGUGUUUUACCAGACAUGUCCUGUGACCAGCGAAGUCCUGUGAUCAGCCAAGUCUUAGGAUCAGCUAAAUUGUGUGGCCAGCCAAGUCAUGUGACCAGCCAAGUGUUUUUACCAGCCAUGUCCUAUGACCAGCAGCUUUGUCUCGAGUGUACAGUCUGAUUGUAUGGGAAGAAAAAUCUACAUUUCAUAUUGUAUGGGCAUAAUGAUACUGACAGUAUCUUGAUGAUUAAGUAUUUUGUUAUAUAUUGGUAAAUAGACCAAUAUGAUAAGGGGAAACUCAGUAAUAGCAGUAAUUUAAAGUUUUAUUUCAAGAGCAAAAUAAUGCAAGUACUACAAUUGUGUCUGUAUUCAGAAACUGACUCUAUAUAGCUUUAUCCUGAUUAUCGUAAACAGACAGACACACAUGAUUUUACAAUUGUUGUUUUUUAAACAUUGAUUUUAAGCCUUCACAAAGUUGUUUAAAUAAUGCUGAUACCUUGGACAAUAUUUAGCUUAUUUAUUGUAUAAACAAGACAUGCUUAUUUUUAGUUUUUACCUAUAAAAUAGCAAUAGCAAUAGGUAAAAUAAUUGAUCAGAACGGUUCAUAAUUGAGAUGCUUCUAUUUUGAUAUGUCUGUCAUUCUGUCUGUGUACAUUUCUCAUCAGUUUGCUCUUUUGAGGCAGUAUUUUAUCAAGAAUUUCAUGUAGUGAUGUAAUAUUAAGAUAUCAAAUAAUAAUUUGAUUUAUUCAAACUAUAUUAACCUUCUGUUAAUUAUCAAUUUAUUUAUUGGCAACAGAUACUUUGUUUAAUAUUAACAAUAGUUAAGCGCGUUAUAAAAAUUGUGUGAAUGUACAUGCAUAAUAUUGCAAUAAUUGAUGAACACAUUAAUGGAAAAACUAUUUAAAUAAAGUGUAAUUUAGAAGUGCAUCUUAAUUGUAAUGGAGUUUGUUUAAUUAUUAAAAAAGGAUGCUUUCAUUGUUGAAAAUAUGAUAGUAAUUCCUCCACAAGUAAUUUUGUUUCAAAGUGAGUAUUUUCAUGAAUAAUGAUCCUAGAUAUGGUUGUAGAUUGUUCUUGUUGUAUCAUAUACUGACAUGCUAAUUAUUUGUUAUGACAUUUGCAUUCUAGCAUUAAAAGUUCAUUAUGCUUUAAAUAUUUGUAUGUACACAUUUGCGACCAGCUUUUCUAAUGUAAUAAGUGAAUAACGUAACACAGAUUUAAUUGUCACUGUAUAUACGUUUAUUUUGUCAUUUGUAAAUAGAUCAACUGCGAACAUAAUGUUUUUGUUUGUACAUUAUUCAUAAAAUGUUGCCAUUUCAAACAGAUACAUUCACUGUUUGAAUUCAUUUGUACAAAAUUGUUUCAUAUUAAACAUCAUUUACAUAUCAGGCAAUAGAGAAAGAAUUGCUUUGGAUGAAUGAGCACAUUAACCUGUAUAGUAAAUUAAGACAUGCAGAAUAUCAGAUCAUUAACAUACUUUAAGCAUUAGAAACACCUUGUUUUAUGUCAAGCUUUUCAGUGAAUAUAAUUAAGCAACUAUUAUCUGGAAAUUUGGAAAACAGUGAAGAACGAUUCAAGGGAGAGCAACUGUGAUAUACUAAAUAAAAGUCGUCUCCCUUGUUAGAGUAUAAUUGUACCUCUCAACGUAACAAGAACAUUGAAUCUUUUUUUAUAUUAUUCCACACUAUAAACUAUGUACUAUAUUCAUUCAAUAAUCACUAAAGAAAUAUGGUUUGCAUAAUUGUUUAUUUCUAUGCGUUAUACCAAAUUCACCAAAUUCACCAGUAUGGCAUCAAUUUAAGUUCAUCAUAUUUUUAUUGCCAAAAUUGGCCAUACAGUGCUAAAAAUUUGGUAUUCUGACUAUUAUUAGUGCAUGUUCUCAUACAAUAUCACAUUGUAGAUUUUAACACCGAAGCAAUUCUGACUAUUAUUAGUGCAUGUUCUCAUACAAUAUCACAUUGUAUAUUUUAACACUGAAGCAAUAUGUGUUAAUAUAUAAAUUUUUAUUUAUUGACUUGUUAUUGCUUGUUAAGGUGUCUAAUUUUGAAUUAUAGCUGUAAAUUGAUGUGACUAUUUUCCAGUUUUGAAUGAUUGCUUUUAGUUGAUUGUUUACAAGUUUUGUAAAAGCUGUUUUCAUGUUGACUGCUCCACAUUAAAUGACUUUAUUAUUAUUUCGUUGACGCACAUUCACUGCGGCCAGGUUCCGUAAAACUCCCAACUCAUCUGAUGUCUUAUGAUUGGAUUCCAUACAUAGUGGUUGUUUAUACUCAGCUUGCUUUGCAUUAAACAUGUCUGCUUUGUUGUUAAAAAUUAUACACAGCUUUUUAUUAGACAAAAUUGUGUAAUAUUUCAAAUUUUUGAUAUCAUUUUUUUAUUUCGAACAAAAAUAUAUUUUGUUUAUUUGUAUGUAUGUUUAGCUAUAAUAAAAUUGUUUCUAUAAUAUAUAAACAACAUAUUUAUAAGCAAUAAACUAUAUUGGUAAAAGUAGAUUUAAGGUUCAAAAUCAUGUCUUAAUUUGUUCGAUUAUCCCAAAAUAACAUUUUGCAAAAGCAGAAACUUGUUGAAUAAAGAAAACUUUAUGCAACGUACCACUAGGUCUUUUAACCAUUGAUUGUGUAUCACUAACGAUCAGGACUUUAUCAGGGAUACAUAAUUGCCUUUGCAUGGCUAUAAUGUUUGUGUUAUUGAAUUGAAUAAUUUUUGUAGUUUGGUGCACAUUAAUUGUUGUUGUUUUUUUAAGACAUAGCACAUGUCAUAUAAUAUAAUAUCAUUGUAGUUUUGGUAUGUUUAGGGAUAUAAUCAUGUUAAUGUAUGUGAUUUGCUGAUCCAUUUCUUGAUGUUUCACUCCAUUUAAUGUAUAUAGCCAUGCAUAGAGCAGGAAUAUUGUUGUACUGUAAAAAAAUGUUGUUAUAGCAAAUAAAAAAUGUAUGUGAA